GUCGAACGGUAGCACAGAGAGCUUGCUCUCGGGUGACGAGUGGCGGACGGGUGAGUAAUGUCUGGGAAACUGCCUGAUGGAGGGGGAUAACUACUGGAAACGGUAGCUAAUACCGCAUAAUGUCGCAAGACCAAAGAGGGGGACCUUCGGGCCUCUUGCCAUCAGAUGUGCCCAGAUGGGAUUAGCUAGUAGGUGGGGUAACGGCUCACCUAGGCGACGAUCCCUAGCUGGUCUGAGAGGAUGACC
rnacentral:rRNA from 1 species